rnacentral:rRNA from 1 species
UGGGGAAUAUUGCACAAUGGGCGCAGGCCUGAUGCAGCCAUGCCGCGUGUGUGAAGAAGGCCUUCGGGUUGUAAAGCACUUUGCAGCGAGGAGGAAGGGUUCAGUGUUAAUAGCACUGUUCAUUGACGUUACUCGCAGAAGAAGCACCGGCUAACUACGUGCCGAGCAGCCGCGGUAAUACGUAGGGUGCAAGCGUUAUCCGGAA